GCCCUAUCCCCGCCCUUUAAGAUCUCGCUUGGCCCUGCCCGGACACCCUACACAGGGACCACAGGCCCCGCCCCUCCCCGUCCCACCGGCCCCCGCCCUCCAAACCCCCCUGGCCCCGCCCAGAUACCCGGACAGGCGCCACAGGCUAGGCCCCGCCCCGCCUCACAUGCCCAGCCCCUUCCCUCCAAGACCCCCGCCUGGCCCGGCCCAGACACUCCCCACAGGCUCCACAGGCCUGGCUCCGCCCCCUCACAGGACCCCUCUAGGUCCUCCAGGACCCCGCCUGGUCACCCCCCCGAACCCCCCUCCACAGGCCUCACAGGCCUGGCCGCGCUCCGCCCCACAGGCCCCGCCCCCUUCCUCCCCUCAACAGGCCCUGGCCCACCCCUGCAAGACAACGCCUGGGCCCGCCCGGAUCCUCUUUCUCCGCCCCGCCCCCCCACCGCUGGCUUCAUAGGCCCCGGCCCUCCCCACCCAGGCCCCGCCCUGCUCCUCUGCCCCGCCCAGACCCCGCCCUGCUCCUCUGCCCCGCCCAAACCCCGCCCUGCUCCUCUGCCUCGCCCAGACCCCGCCCUGCUCCUCUGCCCCGCCCAGACCCCGCCCUGCUCCUCUGCCCCGCCCAGUCCUCGCCCUGCUUCUCUGCCCCGCCCAUUCCCCGCCCUGCUCCUCUGCCCCGCCCAUUCCCCCGCCCUGCUCCUCUGCCUCGCCCAGACCCCGCCCUGCUCCUCUGCCUCGCCCAGACCCCGCCCUGCUCCUCUGCCUCGCCCAGACCCCGCCCUGCUCCUCUGCCUCGCCCAGACCCCGCCCUGCUCCUCUGCCCCGCCCAGGCCCCGCCCUGCUUCUCUGCCCCGCCCAUUCCCCGCCCUGCUCCUCUGCCCCGCCCAGACCCCGCCCUGCUCCUCUGCCUCGCCCAGACCCCUGGGCUCCCCUGGUUUGGCUCCUGUAGUCCCCGGUGCGAGGCCCUGUAGGGCAACACUGGGUCGGCCCGGUUCCUUACUAGCUCGUGGAACUGCGCUUCGGGGCACAAAGCAGACUCUCCAUAGACUUGGAAACUGUGCCCACGUGGGCACCGAGCGCCCUGCUGUAGGAGCGGACUCCAUCUUGAGCUGGCCCUUAACAUCGGAAGCUCUCAGGCAUCACAGAGAUCUGAACUUGGUCCCCAAAGAAAAUAAAACUGCAGUGCAAGUGUAA
rnacentral:lncRNA from 1 species